UAUAUGAUUGAGUAUAAGACCUAGAACCCCAACCGGUUCCCAAAAGUUAAAGUUGUGUUUCCUUGUUAGGAGAUACAAAGCCAAAGACUCGUACGGACUUUGGCUACACCAUAAAAGCUUUGAGAAGCAUGUAGAAGCUAGGUUAAUGUUUUGGAGUCAAGUAUGACAAGAUGUCAUGUGUAUGAUUGAGUAUAAGAACUAGAACCGCAACCGGUUCC
rnacentral:sRNA from 1 species